rnacentral:miRNA from 1 species
UAAUUUUCUUAUCUCUCGAAGU